GGUCAUUGGGUGAGUUGGGCUCUUGACGUGAGAAAGGUCAAAAGGUCAUUGGGUGAGUUGGGCUCUUGACGUGAGAAAGGUCAAAAGGUCAUUAGGUGAGUUCGGUUCUUGAUGCCAUGGCAUGUUUAUGAAUUUGAAACAUUCAGUUUAGUCCGACUGGUCCCUUUUCUCCGAGCAUUACCCGUUAAUGAAUGAAUUAGCCUUACGAGCCAAUCACCUUCAGGGCUAAAACAGGACACAGAUGGAAGCUCCACCUUUUAAGUCUUAAAGAAUGCUGUCUAGGUAAAGGCCCGCUCAAUUACAGAUACGUGUUGCAUGCCGACUUGCUUUUUGGGGGUAUUCACACAUGAAAACAGUUGAAUUUUACAAAACAUUUCUUUUUUUGAUAGUUUUUGAUAGUGGACCCAAACGUGAAGCAUUCCCACCCCAACAGACAAACAAAAACAAAAACAAAAACAAAAACAUGCCCACAUUGGGCUGCCAUGCUUUUCUCUGUACCCAGGCACUUAAGCACAACACAACAAUACUUGAUAACACACCUUUCAGUUUUGCCAGCACGUUCAAAGCAGGUGUGAGGUGCAUACAAUAAUUAAAAUAUAUAUAAAUAUACAUAUAUAUAUAUGUGUUUGUAUAUGUAUAUUAACAAAAGCCAUGGUGUGUGUACAGAGGAAAAUCGAAAUCAUGAAGUACACAUGUACGGACCUGUAAUUAUCAAUGUAGACAUUUGCUAUAUGAUGCUGUGUGUGUGUGUGUGUGUGUGUGUGUGUGUGUAUGCAUUUACGUGUGCAGAGAGACUGUGUGUGUAUGUAUGCAUUUACGUGUGCAUGCAUGUGAGUGAGUGUGCUUGUGCAAGAGAGACUGUGUGUGUGUGUGUCUGUGUAUGCAUUUACAUGUGUGUGCAUGUGAGUGUGUGUGCGACUAUGUGAGUGAGUGUGUGUGUGUAGGUGUAGGAGAGACUGGGUGUGUAUGUAUGAAUGUGUUUACAUGUGCGUGCAUGUGAGUGUGUGUGCAACUAUGUGAGUGAGGAAAGACUGGGUGUGUAUGUAUGAAUGUGUUUACAUGUGCGUGCAUGUGUGUGCGUGUAAGUGUAGGAGAGACUGUGUGUGUGUAUGUAUGUGUGCGUUUACGUAUACGUGCAUGUGAGCGAGUGUGUGUGUGUGCAAGAAAGGCCGUGUGUGUGUAUGUAUGUGUGCGUGCAUGUACAGUAAGUGUGUGUGUGUGUGUGUGUGUGUGUGUGUGUGUGUGUAUGUAUGUGUGCGUGCAUGUACAGUAAGUGUGUGUGUGUGUGUGUGUAAGAGAAAGACGGCGCGUCUGUGGUGUGUGGGCAUGACGGUCUAUGUGAAUGCUCUGUUCAUUGCCAAGAAUAUGUACAUGGUAUUUAUCAGUGUGUUUGCUGUCUGGGCUCAAGCAAAACAAACUCCACAUACCAGCUGAGGGAGAUGAAUCAUGAAUCAGACUGAGGGCACCGUUGAGAAAGACUUCCAGUUCUCACUUCCUGUACCCACGAUGCACUGCUCUCGAGAACUCUCCUCAAGCGUAGCCUUGACAACUUUGGCAUUAUCCUCUCUCCCUCUCCGAGCAGGGGGACUCGAGUGACUGUUUCACUUCCCUCCACACAGAAAAAAAAAACAUGGCUGCCACCGUCGGGACCCCCUCCGCUUCGUGGUUCUGCUGCACUGUUGUCAUGGUGGUUGUCACGGCUGUGUUGGGUUAGCGAUUAAAGGGUGUAUUGCCUGUGCCUGACUAAAGGGUUUAUUACGUUAACGGUCCUGUUAGAUUCUUCUUGCCGUCUUAUUCUUCUACAGUCUAAAUGCUAAUCUUUCAGUUCAGCAUUAAAGCAACAUUUAACAUUAGCCUACAUUUAUGCACAAAUACCAACACAGACUUCAGGUGUUAAAAACAUCAACUUAAUUUAUUUUCAAAUGUAGGCUUACAUGUAAAUAAUAUUGGCCAUAUACAAACAAUUAAAUAGUUGGCAGAUGAAUUCAUAAACAAAGGAGAAAUGUUAUCAUGGUACCAAAAACAACACAAAUAAUUUAAAACUUUAAGCGGUUUAAUGGUAGAUUAUCAAUGUGUCACACAUUUAUCAGAAAGGCUA
ensembl:lncRNA